rnacentral:rRNA from 1 species
UACGUAGGUGGCAAGCGUUGUCCGGAUUUACUGGGCGUAAAGAGCGCGCAGGCGGUCGUUCAAGUCGCGUGUGAAAGCCCCCGGCUCAACUGGGGAGGGUCACGCGAUACUGAUCGACUCGAAGGCAGGAGAGGGUAGUGGAAUUCCCGGUGUAGUGGUGAAAUGCGUAGAUAUCGGGAGGAACACCAGUGGCGAAGGCGGCAUCCUGGACCGGUAUUGACGCUGAGGCGCGAAAGCCAGGGGAGCAAAGCGGG